ACACUCGACACCUACAGGAGGCAGCAGUGGGGAAUAUUGCACAAUGGGGGAAACCCUGAUGCAGCGACGCCGCGUGAGCGAAGAAGUAUUUCGGUAUGUAAAGCUCUAUCAGCAGGGAAGAAACUGACGGUACCUGACUAAGAAGCACCGGCUAAAUACGUGCCAGCAGCCGCGGUAAUCUGAGGCGGGCUGGCAAGGC
rnacentral:rRNA from 1 species